rnacentral:rRNA from 1 species
GGGUUGUGAGGUUAAGCGACUAAGCGUACACGGUGGAUGCCCUGGCAGUCAGAGGCGAUGAAGGACGUGCUAAUCUGCGAUAAGCGUCGGUAAGGUGAUAUGAACCGUUAUAACCGGCGAUUUCCGAAUGGGGAAACCCAGUGUGUUUCGACACACUAUCAUUAACUGAAUCCAUAGGUUAAUGAGGCGAACCGGGGGAACUGAAACAUCUAAGUACCCCGAGGAAAAGAAAUCAACCGAGAUUCCCCCAGUAGCGGCGAGCGAACGGGGAGCAGCCCAGAGCCUGAAUCAGUGUGUGUGUUAGUGGAAGCGUCUGGAAAGGCGCGCGAUACAGGGUGACAGCCCCGUACACAAAAAUGCACAUGCUGUGAGCUCGAUGAGUAGGGCGGGACACGUGGUAUCCUGUCUGAAUAUGGGGGGACCAUCCUCCAAGGCUAAAUACUCCUGACUGACCGAUAGUGAACCAGUACCGUGAGGGAAAGGCGAAAAGAACCCCGGCGAGGGGAGUGAAAAAGAACCUGAAACCGUGUACGUACAAGCAGUGGGAGCCUCUUUAUGGGGUGACUGCGUACCUUUUGUAUAAUGGGUCAGCGACUUAUAUUCUGUAGCAAGGUUAACCGAAUAGGGGAGCCGAAGGGAAACCGAGUCUUAACUGGGCGUUAAGUUGCAGGGUAUAGACCCGAAACCCGGUGAUCUAGCCAUGGGCAGGUUGAAGGUUGGGUAACACUAACUGGAGGACCGAACCGACUAAUGUUGAAAAAUUAGCGGAUGACUUGUGGCUGGGGGUGAAAGGCCAAUCAAACCGGGAGAUAGCUGGUUCUCCCCGAAAGCU